rnacentral:rRNA from 1 species
AAAUUGAAGAGUUUGAUCAUGGCUCAGAUUGAACGCUGGCGGCAGGCCUAACACAUGCAAGUCGAACGGUAACAGGAAGAAGCUUGCUUCUUUGCUGACGAGUGGCGGACGGGUGAGUAAUGUCUGGGAAACUGCCUGAUGGAGGGGGAUAACUACUGGAAACGGUAGCUAAUACCGCAUAACGUCGCAAGACCAAAGAGGGGGACCUUCGGGCCUCUUGCCAUCGGAUGUGCCCAGAUGGGAUUAGCUAGUAGGUGGGGUAACGGCUCACCUAGGCGACGAUCCCUAGCUGGUCUGAGAGGAUGACCAGCCACACUGGAACUGAGACACGGUCCAGACUCCUACGGGAGGCAGCAGUGGGGAAUAUUGCACAAUGGGCGCAAGCCUGAUGCAGCCAUGCCGCGUGUAUGAAGAAGGCCUUCGGGUUGUAAAGUACUUUCAGCGGGGAGGAAGGGAGUAAAGUUAAUACCUUUGCUCAUUGACGUUACCCGCAGAAGAAGCACCGGCUAACUCCGUGCCAGCAGCCGCGGUAAUACGGAGGGUGCAAGCGUUAAUCGGAAUUACUGGGCGUAAAGCGCACGCAGGCGGUUUGUUAAGUCAGAUGUGAAAUCCCCGGGCUCAACCUGGGAACUGCAUCUGAUACUGGCAAGCUUGAGUCUCGUAGAGGGGGGUAGAAUUCCAGGUGUAGCGGUGAAAUGCGUAGAGAUCUGGAGGAAUACCGGUGGCGAAGGCGGCCCCCUGGACGAAGACUGACGCUCAGGUGCGAAAGCGUGGGGAGCAAACAGGAUUAGAUACCCUGGUAGUCCACGCCGUAAACGAUGUCGACUUGGAGGUUGUGCCCUUGAGGCGUGGCUUCCGGAGCUAACGCGUUAAGUCGACCGCCUGGGGAGUACGGCCGCAAGGUUAAAACUCAAAUGAAUUGACGGGGGCCCGCACAAGCGGUGGAGCAUGUGGUUUAAUUCGAUGCAACGCGAAGAACCUUACCUGGUCUUGACAUCCACGGAAGUUUUCAGAGAUGAGAAUGUGCCUUCGGGAACCGUGAGACAGGUGCUGCAUGGCUGUCGUCAGCUCGUGUUGUGAAAUGUUGGGUUAAGUCCCGCAACGAGCGCAACCCUUAUCCUUUGUUGCCAGCGGUCCGGCCGGGAACUCAAAGGAGACUGCCAGUGAUAAACUGGAGGAAGGUGGGGAUGACGUCAAGUCAUCAUGGCCCUUACGACCAGGGCUACACACGUGCUACAAUGGCGCAUACAAAGAGAAGCGAACUCGCGAGAGCAAGCGGACCUCAUAAAGUGCGUCGUAGUCCGGAUUGGAGUCUGCAACUCGACUCCAUGAAGUCGGAAUCGCUAGUAAUCGUGGAUCAGAAUGCCACGGUGAAUACGUUCCCGGGCCUUGUACACACCGCCCGUCACACCAUGGGAGUGGGUUGCAAAAGAAGUAGGUAGCUUAACCUUCGGGAGGGCGCUUACCACUUUGUGAUUCAUGACUGGGGUGAAGUCGUAACAAGGUAACCGUAGGGGAACCUGCGGUUGGAUCACCUCCUUACCUUAAAGAA